rnacentral:rRNA from 11 species
UAGUGGCGAACGGGUGAGUAACACGUGGGCAAUCUGCCCUUCACUCUGGGACAAGCCCUGGAAACGGGGUCUAAUACCGGAUACAACCACUGACCUCAUGGUCGGGUGGUGGAAAGCUCCGGCGGUGAAGGAUGAGCCCGCGGCCUAUCAGCUUGUUGGUGAGGUAAUGGCUCACCAAGGCGACGACGGGUAGCCGGCCUGAGAGGGCGACCGGCCACACUGGGACUGAGACACGGCCCAGACUCCUACGGGAGGCAGCAGUGGGGAAUAUUGCACAAUGGGCGAAAGCCUGAUGCAGCGACGCCGCGUGAGGGAUGACGGCCUUCGGGUUGUAAACCUCUUUCAGCAGGGAAGAAGCGAAAGUGACGGUACCUGCAGAAGAAGCGCCGGCUAACUACGUGCCAGCAGCCGCGGUAAUACGUAGGGCGCAAGCGUUGUCCGGAAUUAUUGGGCGUAAAGAGCUCGUAGGCGGCUUGUCACGUCGGGUGUGAAAGCCCGGGGCUUAACCCCGGGUCUGCAUUCGAUACGGGCUAGCUAGAGUGUGGUAGGGGAGAUCGGAAUUCCU